GAACGAACGCUGGCGGCAUGCCUACCACAUGCAAGUCGAACGAGACCUUCGGGUCUCGUGGCGCACGGGUGCGUAACGCGUGGGAACCUGCCCUUAGGUUCGGAAUAACUCCCCGAAAGGGGUGCUAAUACCGGAUAAUGUCUUCGGACCAAAGAUUUAUCGCCUUUGGAUGGGCCCGCGUUGGAUUAGCUAGUUGGUAGGGUAAAAGCCUACCAAGGCGACGAUCCAUAGCUGGUCUGAGAGGAUGAUCAGCCACACUGGGACUGAGACACGGCCCAGACUCCUACGGGAGGCAGCAGUGGGGAAUAUUGGACAAUGGGCGAAAGCCUGAUCCAGCAAUGCCGCGUGAGUGAUGAAGGCCUUAGGGUUGUAAAGCUCUUUUACCCGGGAUGAUAAUGACAGUACCGGGAGAAUAAGCUCCGGCUAACUCCGUG
rnacentral:rRNA from 1 species